rnacentral:rRNA from 2 species
UGAAAGAUGAUCAGGUUGAUAGGUCUGAGGUGGAAGUGUGGCGACACAUGGAGCUGACAGAUACUAAUCGAUCGAGGACUUAACCAAUUU